GACGAACGCUGGCGGCGUGCUUAACACAUGCAAGUCGAACGAAGAGCGAUGGACGCUUGCUUCUAUCAAUCUUAGUGGCGAACGGGUGAGUAACGCGUAAUCAACCUGCCCUUCAGAGGGGGACAACAGUUGGAAACGACUGCUAAUACCGCAUACGAUCUAAUCUCGGCAUCGAGGAUAGAUGAAAGGUGGCCUCUACAUGUAAGCUAUCAUUGAAGGAGGGGAUUGCGUCUGAUUAGCUAGUUGGAGGGGUAACGGCCCACCAAGGCGAUGAUCAGUAGCCGGUCUGAGAGGAUGAACGGCCACAUUGGGACUGAGACACGGCCCAGACUCCUACGGGAGGCAGCAGUGGGGAAUCUUCCGAAAUGGACGAAAGUCUGACGGAGCAACGCCGCGUGAGGGAUGACGGCCUUCGGGUUGGAAAGCUCUGUUAAUCGGGACGAAAGGCCUUCUUGCGAAUAGUGAGAAGGAUUGACGGUACCGGAAGAGAAAGCCACGGCUAACUACGUG
rnacentral:rRNA from 1 species